rnacentral:rRNA from 1 species
UACGGAGGGUGCUAGCGUUGUUCGGAAUUACUGGGCGUAAAGGGCGCGUAGGCGGCUACGGCAGUCGGGUGUGAAAGCCCGGGGCUCAACCCCGGAACGGCAUCCGAUACUCUGUGGCUAGAGACCGGAAGAGGUGGGUGGAAUACCCAGUGUAGAGGUGAAAUUCGUAGAUAUUGGGUGGAACACCGGUGGCGAAAGCGGCUCACUGGCCCGGUUCUGACGCUGAGGCGCGAAAGCGUGGGGAGCAAACAGG